rnacentral:rRNA from 1 species
UACGAAGGGGGCUAGCGUUGUUCGGAAUUACUGGGCGUAAAGCGCACGUAGGCGGAUUGUUAAGUCGGGGGUGAAAUCCUGAGGCUCAACCUCAGAACUGCCUUCGAUACUGGCGAUCUUGAGUUCGGAAGAGGUUGGUGGAUCAGCUAGUGUAGAGGUGAAAUUCGUAGAUAUUAGCUAGAACACCAGUGGCGAAGGCGGCCAACUGGUCCGACACUGACGCUGAGGUGCGAAAGCUAGGGGAGCGAACGGG